rnacentral:lncRNA from 1 species
CGGGGCCAUACUCUGAAAGAGGUAGCUUGGCGACAGACAAAUUUUCUAAGAGAGACAGUAUGGGGAGAAGAAAAGGCAAAGGUCCAAGACUCAAAAAAUGAAUGAAUGUUAAAACAUCAGAAGAGCAAGAUAAACGAGUUAAGAAGAUGGCACAGGAGCCGCAGAGAGGUGGAAGAUGGCUUGGAAGAGUGAAAACAGUUUUGCUGAGGACAGAAGAGAUGAGGUGGGGAUGGUCCAUGAAGAUGAAUGACUGCUUCCUAAGACACUGUGGCGAGGAGGCUGUGGAAAGAUGGCAGCAGCAGACUGUGGAGAGAAGUCAAUUCACUGUGAGUGGUCAGACAAUACCUGAACCAAGAAGACACAUGGGACAACCUCUUGGGAACAGAAAGUUCAGAAAAGGGCUAAGAAAUAGGAUGGAGAUAGGGAUACUCAAUGAUCUAGUCAUAAGGGAUCAAAAUGG